rnacentral:rRNA from 1 species
UGCAUGAAGUCGGAAUUGCUAGUAAUCGCAGAUCAGCAUGCUGCGGUGAAUACGUUCCCGGGCCUUGUACACACCGCCCGUCACACCAUGGAGUCGGUAACACCCGAAGCCUGUAGUCUAACCGCAAGGAGGACGCAGUCGAAGGUGGGAUUGAUGACUGGGGUGAAGUCGUAACAAGGUACC